rnacentral:lncRNA from 1 species
GACUUUGUAAGAACUUUGCAAAGGCAAGGUUUGUUUUGGAUGACUUGGAUUUUAAGAAGUGUAAUAGGAUUUAUAUUUUGGAUGAUUUCAAGGAUUUUGUAAUAGAUAUAUGGGUGAAAUUAUUUGGGUUCAUGGUUAUAGUUGUGUUUAAUAUGUGUUGUGAAUUUGAGCUCGAUCUAACAGUUGAAUUGAGGAUUUUUGAGUUUUAAGUGGGUCAAGGUCUCAUAAAGUAGAAUUUUAGGUCUAGUGAAUAUUUUUAAGAUUUCAUGCAACCUUCUAUUUGGAUUAGA